AAAGAGGGUGUGUAAAACCUAAUUUAAUUCUAAUAGCAGAUUGGGCCUAAGCCCAAGUGAAAAGGGGUAUGAAUAUGCAAAUAGGGGGGCUGCAAGGUGGAAAUUCGAAUGGGCUUAAGCCCAAGGAGGAUGGGGUGCGAUCCAACAGAACGAGGGGGUGCAAAAACGUUUUUUUUUUAAUUAAGUUUUUUGUUUGGCAAGACCUGGGCCUGAUUUAGGGGUGUGUUGGUAGAAAAGUGGUGGCGGGCAGAAAAGGUUCAGCCCAAACAAGAGGGGUGUGGAUGGGAGUUGUGUGUGGCGACAGGAAAAACAUGCGGCCCACUAGCUUGGCCCAAAGCUCUUAUUUUGUUUUUUUUUUCUUUUUACAGAAGUGGGGGCGUGGGUGUGAUAGGAAAACGAGGGAUGUAGGGAAGAAACUCCAGUCCAGGCAAGCCCAAGGUCUUCAACCCAAGUCAAAACAUUAGGGGUUCUAAGUUUUUUUUCAUUUGCAUUCCACUCCAAGAUCAGGGUUUCCUUCCUCUCCCAAAGAAGCUGAGGUGAAGCUAAGCUCUCCAGAGACCUAGGGUCUCCUUCGAGGAUCCAAGGAAGCUCGCCCCUGCCAUGGCUGUACCGCCGUCUCCACCACCGCGAACCGACCAUCGCCAUCCGGCCAGCCCUAGCGUCGCCGGCAACAUCGACCCUCACCCAGGAGCCGCUACCGGUGGCGACGUCUCCGCCCUCUCUUCACGCGACAGAGAAGCAACGUGCUCCUCCACGGCUUGAGCGAUCCUGGUCGUAUCGCGCCAGGACGCCACCGGCAGCACAGGUCGCCGCCGGACGUCGCGUCAACCCUCCUCCACUGCCAACCAAAACCGGCCACCGCAAGCCACCAGCUGGGUCAUCCUCCGUCUCGAUCAGGACCUCCGUUGGGUAAGCCUCUCUCGGUCGUUCCAGAAGCUUCAGUGGGUUGCUCUGCCGGUGAAGAUGAAGACACCGUUUCGUUCUCUUUCUUUUUCCUUUUUUUAUUUUUGGUGAAUACGCAGUUUAAUGGUUCAAGCUCAUUGUUAGUGAUUAGGGAUGGACAGAGGCGUGGGGAUUUGGAUCCUGUUACUGGUUGUUGGUUUGAAUGGUGAUGAACGAAUUCGAAACUAGGAUGAAGAAUAGGGGGUAUGUUUUGGCUUUGAUUGUGUUAGUUGAAUACAAGCUUGUGUUUGGGUGCUGGCAAUCAAUCUUGGUUCUUAGUGAUUGGUUCUGUUUUCUGUGGCUUGUUUGGGUGCCUUGGGUUUCUGUUAUGGCGUUAUUGUUGCGCUUAAACAGGUUGGGUUAGCUUUCUUUUCUUGCUCAACUGUUGGCUUCAAACAUAGGUGAAAAAGAACAAAGCUUGGGAUGGUGAGAGAUAUUCGGUGAGUUGGUUUCCGGAUAAAAGAUGGGCUGUGGGAUUUUAGUCCCGGUGGUAUUUGUGGGGUUUCUGGGUGCUAACAGGUAUUGAACUUUUGAUGUUAGGGGAUAUAUACUUAGCCUCUACUGUUAGCAAUACAUAAUGAAUGUCGCAGGUAAUUGAAUAAACGAUAAUGCCAUACAGAGAACACAACUAUUUUAUUAACCAAGCAACAGUCAUUCAUAUUCAGGCACGGCAUGUAAACAGGGAACAUACAUUCACAUAGGACCAAAUCCGAGGAGCUUAGACAGAGCAACUUACCUCCGUAGCUUCAAUAGAACUCUCUCAGGUGAAGGCAAAUGGUCCUCCUCUUCCUUGGCUGUGAGGUAUCUUCCUCCCAGAUUGAGGUGAUAGGUAAAUGGUGAUGGGUUUCCAAUGCUCAAGUUCCGUUGGUGAGAUGCUUGAAACUGAAUCCUCUGCUUCUCUUAUGGUAAUGAGAUAUUGCCGAUGAACAAUUGGGAGUGAAAGGGAAAUCUGGUUGGAGUGGUCGCGGGUCCCAGGAGCCAAGGGAGUCCGUUCUUGAACAGCGUGGUCAAAACCGAUCCCUCUCACUGUCUCAGCUAUCAUCUUCUCCGUCCUGAAUCACACAGGCAUAGGCAUAUCCCCUUGUCCCCUUUUUCCUUUUUGCGUUUAAGUUGGGUUAAGUAGUCAAAGGGAUUCAAAUUUCCAAUCCUCUUCGAUGUAAGAUUGCGGCUCUGCACAAAGAAGAUUUUGGCAACAGCAGGAGGGUAGCAGGAGGGACCGAGUAGCAUGAAAAGGCUUGCAGAAAGCCCGACUGGUGUUUGCCUAGGCUGAAGACGGGUGAAACACAAUACUGCCAUUCCUAAAAAGGCCGGUCGACUAAUGUCCCUUUUUCUUUUCUUGUUUUGUUUUUUUCAUUUUAUUUUUGGUUAUUUAUUUUUUAGUUUUGUCUGUACAAUAAUGUUUUAACCUAUAUCUAAGAACGACUUCACUUUUCUUUUGAA